rnacentral:rRNA from 1 species
UACGUAGGGUGCGAGCGUUAAUCGGAAUUACUGGGCGUAAAGCGUGCGUAGGCGGUUCGUUGUGUCUGUGGUGAAAGCCCCGGGCUUAACCUGGGAAUGGCCAUGGAAACUGGCGAGCUGGAGUGUGGCAGAGGGGGGUGGGAAUUCCGCGUGUAGCAGUGAAAUGCGUAGAGAUGCGGAGGAACACCGAUGGCGAAGGCAGCCCCCUGGGCUAACACUGACGCUGAGGCACGAAAGCGUGGGGAGCAAACAGG